UUUCAACCGGACAUUGUUACUAUGGUUACCAUGUCUUUAGUACACGUUUUAUAUAUAUACGAUAAAGUAAGUGUUACUAUCUCAAAUACUGAAUAUAAUAAGUCGCAUCUCAGUGAUUUGCUUUAAUUCCAUCUAUACAAAGUAAUUGUUUGUUUUUUUCAGCUCAAUGCCAAGAGAAUGAGGUAUUUCUUAGAAAUAGGGAGACUGUGAAUCAUCCACAAUCGUGCUGGCAGUACUUAUAUGGCAACCUUGACGAUUUGGUCGAGACACAAGGACCAGAAUGCAUUUGCAGGAAAAACUAUGCCAGGAACAAUGACGGGCAAUGCAUUCCUAUAAGCAACUGUUUUCACAACAUACGAAGAAAACGAUCAAUUUGCGGGAAUUAUGAGGAGUUCGUACUGAAUACAGCUGGCAUAUCUCGGCCUCAAAAUUGCUGGAGAUAUAUUUUAGGUUUUCCAAAAAGUACAGAACUCUUAUUGAAACCAGGGUGUGUGUGUAUUGAAAACUACGUAAGAAAUAGCACGGGGUCAUGUAUACCUUCUAAAGAAUGUAAUGCACUCAUGUUAACGGGCUGACCUUUGUAUCAAAAACAUUUAAAUUAACAAAAUUAUAUUAACACAUGUAAUUGCAAAAUAAAGUUUGAUAUGUUCAA